rnacentral:tRNA from 1 species
UCCUCGUUAGUAUAGUGGUCAGUAUCCCCGCCUGUCACGCGAGAGACCGCGGGGUUCGAUUCCCCGACGGGGAG